GCUGCGCGAUUCAGAGUAAAAGCCUCGUAUGACCAACCGCAAGCUUACGAUGGACCGGGGAGAGUCGGAUACUUUGAGAGUAGUGUCUUAAGGGGGUGGUAUGUCCCAUCCAAGGCUAAAUAACGUGAGGAGACCGAUAGAUUACAAGUAGUGUGAACGAAAGAUGAAAAGAACUCUAAAACAGAGGGUGAAAAGUUCCUGAACUUGCUUAGGGUUAAGGCUAUUUAUAGUACCCGUCUUGAAACACGGAUUAGGGAGUUUAUCUGUAGUGCGAGUCUUUGCACGUUAACUGUAAAGGCGUAGAGAAAGCAACUGGCGUUUGCAUGGCUACUGAGCAUUACUGAUAGGACCCGAAAGGUGGUGAACUUUGCCUGCACAGGUUGAAGUCAGGGGAAACUCUGAUGGAGGACCGUACGGGUUAUUGAUGUGCAAAUCAUUUUUCUGAUGUAGGUAAAGGUGCGAAAGACUCAUCGAACCACCUAAUAGCUGGUUUCCUCCGAAGUUUCCCUCAGGAUAGCUGUAAUGCAUUUAGUUAAGGGGAGUAGAGAUAUGGGUAGAGGUGCAGGGAGCCUUCGGGUUCUCAACUUAUUUCCAAACUUCGAACCUCCUUGUUAGGCAUUUACCUAACUGGAAAUGCUUAAAUGAAUUAGCGUUACAAGUGGGCUCUGACCGGUAAGCGGUCAUGGCGAAAUGGGAUGAACCAUACGUCUGAAUAAGGUGCCGAAAUGUACUAUCACUGAUACCAUAAAGGGAGUCCAUGUAUUUAGACAGCAGGUCGGUGCCCCUAAAAGCAGGUAUCCGCUAAAGAGUGUGUUAAAACUCACCUGCCGAAUACUAGGGCCCCGAAAAUGAAUGGCGCAUAUAGUACUACCGAUCUCAGACAUCAGUUCUAUUGAACUGAGAGUAGGGGGAUGUGGACAUUUUUGUGAAGUGCAAUGUGAGUUGGACUGGAAGAAUGUCUAUUACAGAUCCUAAUUGAAGUAGCGAUUAUCCAGGCUUGUAUCCUGGGGGCUGAUGAGGAGUAGGGUUUCUGGACAACUUAAACAGAUCCAGAGUUAGUCGAUCCUAAUCUCAAUAAUGGGAGAAAGGGAGUACAGUUGAUAUUCUGUAACUGACAACAGUUCGCGGCAACGCAUACUAUUUUUCUCCGCCAAUCUUAUACCGUUGGUAGGGAUCUCUUUCCUACAUGACAGUACUAAUACCCAGGGAAACUGGUCAUCAGGCGAACUGCGGCGUUCUGCUGGCAAAACAUAGCUUCGGUUAUGUCAAUGGCUAUUGGAUUGGUCCAUGAAGCGAAAAAUAGUUUACUGUGUCACUCGUACCGAUAACCGCAUCAGGUCUUCUAGGUAAGUAGCCUAUGGCCAUUGAGGCAUGAUAGUUCAGGGAAUUCGGCCAAUUAGAGCUGUAACUUCGGGAUAAAGCUUGGCUCUGAUGAAAAUCAGAACCGAUUGUUACGCGGAGAGCCCAACUGUUUAAUAAAAACGUAGUGUCGCGCUGUGGUAGUAUAGCCAGUGAACGCGACAUGAAUCCUGCUCAGUGCUGUGUCUGUUAAUAUGGUUCAAGCCAACGAAGCACCGGUAAAUAGCUGGGGUAACUAUGACUCUUAUCAAAGUAGCGAAAUACCUCGUCACUUAAUUAGUGACCUGCAUGAACGGAGCUAUGAGGUUCUCACUGUCCCAAACUGUCUCUCAGCGAACCAACUGUAGUGGGAACGGUCACUAGAUAUCCAGCGGGGAAAGAAGACCCUGUAGAGCUUCACUUUGGUCUAGUCUUGUAUAGUUCCUGCGGGGGUGUAGACUAGGUGGGAGAGCAAUCGAUUCUGAAAAACCACUACCCUGUUUGGAAUUAUGCUUACCUAUCACAAGGAAUAGGACUAGAUAGAAAGUUUGGCUGGGGCGGCACACCUUCGAAAGAGCAGCGAAGGUGUCCUAAGUUGAGCUCAGU
rfam:Trichomonas vaginalis G3, whole genome shotgun sequence.